rnacentral:lncRNA from 1 species
GAACAGGCUCAGUCAGUCGUCCUGACUGAGCAGCUGGGGUCUGUGUCCCAUUCAUGUCUCUCUUCACACCCAGGCUCUGGCCCAGAUGACGUCUUCUGUAAUGUCAAGGUGUUGAAGAGACUUGAGUGGCAAUUUCAGUGCUUAGCAACCGUGUUUGUUUUUGUUUCAGCUUGGUUUUCCUUCAGCAUCCAGCUGUGGAUCUCUUCUUCUGUUGAAGGUGAGAUCAGUUCAGCAUCUGCAGAGUGGCUCUGCACCGGGUGGUCUUACUUCCAAAGAGCAGCAAAGGAUGCAGGCAGCACAUCUUUGAGCACUCAGACAGAAGGCCCCAGCCCAGGUGUCCAGAUCUGGCUCCCUGGGGCCAUGCAGGAGGAGGAUAGGAGGGCAGACCCUCCCUGGAGUGGGGGGUGGUGCCCUGGGUGCACACCGAGGCUGGGGCCGCCUACUCCAGUCUCUUCUGCAGACCAGGAGACCUCAGUGAAAACAGCACGUGGGGAAAGUUUAGGUAGUCAUUUUUUUUCUUCUCUCCCCAGAAUAAAAGUCCAAUAUUGUAGAUUCAAAGAAGAGUUUUGUUUGCUUUUGUUUUUCUACCUAUACAGAGAGCCACUGAAUUUCACAGGCUCUUCUGACUGACUUUCUAGGUAAAUCCUGUGGAUCAUAAUGAGAUUUAUAUUGCCUUAGUGAAAAGGACAGACAAGGGUAGGCUUUGUCAGGGAAGAAGGAACCAAGAAUUACUCCAAGUGUCUAGAAAAUGUUCACCCCUUGCUUUGUGGGCCAAAGAAUUCUGUACAGACAUAAAGCCUACCAAAGCUUUCUAUCUGUUUCUAUGAGAAAUUUGUUUAAAGUCAUCCACAAACACAUAAUAUUUUGCUUUAAGAUGACAAUAUUUUAAAAUAAGUGACCUUGUAGUUAUCACUAAGUCAUCUCUUAAGUUUUAUUUUUGUUUGCUAGAAACUUGUUGGACUUCCAUUGAUCAUAAUUAUUAUUAUGUGUUUGGUGUAUGAAAAUAGCCUGUUAAAACUGUACUUGAGUUUAUUUCACAGCCUACCAUGUAGUAACAAUAACAAGAAAAUACGUAUCUAUCUCCAACUCUUGAUCGGUUCCGUUAUUUCAAGUCAGUAACAAUUACUUAUUUGGUACUUGCUUGUCCUUAACUUGAGGUAAUAGAAUCUUUCAUAAACCAUACCU